AUUGAACGCUGGCGGAAUGCUUUACACAUGCAAGUCGAACGGUAGAGGGGCAACCCCUUGAGAGUGGCGAACGGGUGAGUAAUAUAUCGGAACGUGCCCAGUCGUGGGGAUAACGUAGCGAAAGUUACGCUAAUACCGCAUACGAUCUAAGGAUGAAAGCGGGGACCGUAAGGCCUCGCGCGAUUGGAGCGGCCGAUAUCAGAUUAGGUAGUUGGUGGGGUAAAGGCUCACCAAGCCAACGAUCUGUAGCUGGUCUGAGAGGACGACCAGCCACACUGGAACUGAGACACGGUCCAGACUCCUACGGGAGGCAGCAGUGGGGAAUUUUGGACAAUGGACGCAAGUCUGAUCCAGCCAUUCCGCGUGCAGGAUGAAGGCCCUCGGGUUGUAAACUGCUUUUGUACGGAACGAAAAAGUUUCUCUUAAUACGAGGGGCUCAUGACGGUACCGUAAGAAUAAGCACCGGCUAACUACGUG
rnacentral:rRNA from 1 species